UUAGAUAUUUCAUUAUCAUGUACUAACAUGUAUGCUUUUUUUCCAGAGACGUGGAGCUAUUUCCUAUGACAGUUCUGAUCAGACUGCGUUAUAUAUUCGUAUGCUAGGAGAUGUACGGGUAAGGAGCCGAGCAGGAUUUGAACCAGAAAGAAGAGGUUCCCAUCCAUAUAUUGACUUCCGUGUCUUUCACUCUCAAUCUGAAAUUGAAGCAUCAGUCUCUGCCAGGAACAUCAGGAGGCUGCUAAGUUUCCAGCGCUAUCUCAGAUCCUCACGUUUUUUUCGGGGCACCACAGUUUCUAGUUCUCUAAACAUUCUAGAUGACGAUUAUAAUGGACAAGCCAAGUGUAUGCUGGACAAAGUUGGAAAUUGGAAUUUUGAUAUCUUUCUGUUUGAUAGACUAACUAAUGGAAAUAGUCUAGUAAGUUUAACCUUUCAUUUAUUUAGUCUUCAUGGAUUGAUUGAGUACUUCCAUUUAGAUAUGGUGAAACUCCGUCGAUUUUUAGUUAUGAUUCAAGAAGAUUACCACAGUCAAAAUCCUUACCACAAUGCAGUCCACGCUGCAGAUGUUACUCAGGCCAUGCACUGCUACCUAAAGGAACCCAAGCUUGCCAGCUCUGUAACUCCUUGGGAUAUCUUGCUGAGCUUAAUUGCAGCUGCCACUCAUGAUCUGGAUCACCCAGGUGUUAACCAGCCUUUCCUUAUUAAAACCAACCAUUAUUUGGCAACUUUAUACAAGAAUACCUCAGUCCUGGAAAAUCACCACUGGAGAUCUGCAGUGGGCUUGUUAAGAGAAUCUGGUUUGUUCUCACAUUUGCCAUUGGAAAGCAGGCAACAGAUGGAGACUCAGAUAGGUGCACUGAUACUAGCCACAGACAUCAGUCGCCAGAACGAGUACCUGUCAUUGUUUAGAUCUCACUUGGAUAGAGGUGACUUACACCUCGAUGAUGGCAGACAUAGGCAUUUGGUUCUACAGAUGGCCUUGAAAUGUGCUGACAUUUGUAACCCAUGUCGGAACUGGGAGUUAAGCAAGCAGUGGAGUGAAAAAGUAACGGAGGAGUUCUUCCACCAAGGAGAUAUAGAGAAAAAGUACCAUUUGGGCGUGAGUCCACUUUGUGACCGUCAGACUGAGUCUAUCGCCAACAUCCAGAUUGGUUUUAUGACUUACCUGGUGGAGCCUUUAUUUACCGAGUGGGCCAGGUUUUCAGACACAAGGCUGUCACAGACAAUGCUUGGACAUGUGGGGCUGAAUAAAGCGAGCUGGAAGGGACUGCAGAGACAACAGCCCAGCAGUGAGGAUGCCAAUGCUGCAUUUGAGUUGAACUCCCAGUUAUUAACUCAGGAAAAUCGGUUAUCCUAACCUGAACCAGUGGGACAAACUCCCUCCUGCGAGGCUGUGGAAAUGUGAAAUGGGUCCCCAAGGGAAGAGCCAGUUCUGACAGCCGACAUUUCCAAGGAAAUGAUGUCAGCAUUAUUUAUCAUCGAGAUUUCUUGUGUUGGUCAUUUGAGCCCACUUUUUAGUGAUGAGAUCUGAGUAUACAGCAAUAUGCACCUGGCUUUUGUGUGAAACCCUGAACGGACAAAGGACAGCAGGGGAACCGAGAGGAUUAACAAGGAAGAUUUGCUCUGAGUUUUCAAAGCCCGUAUCCUUCGAGCCCUGAAACUUGAACUGAAUCUCAGCAGCAAUCUCAAGCCAACAUGUCCGAUACAGCCACGCAUCUGCCCCUUCCACUUUGUUCUCUCUGAGAAAACAGAAAUGUGAAGUGCCGAGCCUCUGCUGCCUCUGGCAAGACUCAUUGUUUACAAAUCUACUCUGAAAUACUGGUUCUCAAUCGCCUUGGAGCAUGAUUGUGAAGGAACCACCGAGAUUCGCAGCUCAAGCUGGAGAUGCAGCUCUCCCGUGGUUUGCCUUUUUUUCUUCUUUGGAUGCCCUCAGCGCCUCCCGUUUGCUGUUUUGUCUUGUGCACUGGAGAGCCAGCGUUUAUCCAGAGCACCAAGCGUUCCACUCCAGUGCUGUUUGGCAAUGCAUAUUUUUAACUAUUAGUUUUUAAUCUGGGGCGGGAGGGAAGGAACACCAGUAUCCCAGCUGUGUCCUGACUUUGCAGUGAAGACACUGCAUGUUGUUUUCACUACUGUACACUUGACCUGCACAUGCAAGAAAAAGGUGGAAUGUUUAACACACCAUAAUCAGCUCAGGGUAUUUGCCAAUCUGAAAUACAGUGGGAUGGGGAAGUGUGUCCUUCCGAUCAAGGGAACUAAAGUCCCUUUCGCUGCAGUGCGUGAGAGGCAAAUCUCCUUGAGAAGCCAAAUUAGGAGCAGCUGGUUUACUCAGUGAGCAAGGAUUCUGAGCAAGGGAUGCCACGCGUUUCCUCAUGCAUCCCUCUCCCUGUGGGGAUGGAUACCUGCUGAUAUCCAUAGCUGUGGACUGGGGUACCUUCUUCCCCUGGAUGCUAGAGGUUCUCUGCCACUAGUUGCUUCUCCACACACAUUAGCUUGAUUGGUAACUCCAUCAGAUCUGUUACUUACUUACUUCUGCCCCUUUUCUGUUGAGCUUGCCUAGGCAAUUGCACUGCCUGGCUGUUCACAUCUGCUCUGAUUAUGCUGUUCUUCCAGUUUAAUAACACCAAGGCGUCGCUUCCCUGUUUACAGCUUCUCAAAGGGAAGCUAGGUGAUGUCCCUGCACCCAUCACAAGUGUUUUCGUAUAGCUGUGUGUGAAUCCCCUGUCCCUCCUUCUUCUUUGACUUAUUUUCCUUCAACAAUUGGUUCUUCUGCAAAAAUUUGGAGAAACAUUUAGAUCACAUUUUUUAAAGUAAGCAAAUACAGGGUAGUGCAAAAUUCAUGGCAUUUCAAGAUAAAUUGGACACAUCAAAGCAUUUUUGAGGCUGUAGCUACCAUUUGGGAGUCUGGGCCCAGUGCUGAAGAAGGGAUGGGUGAAGAGGUCUCUACUUUGAGUGAGAAAAAAAGUUUUUUUCUCCUUUUUCAAGACAAGGUUUCUUUGUGUAGCUUUGGAGCCUUUCCUAGAACUCACACUAGAUACCAGGCUGGCCUUGAACUCAGAGGUCUGCCUGCCUCUGCCUCCCAAGUGCUAGGAUUAAAGAUGUGUACCACCACCACCCGGCUAGAAAAAAAAUUUUAACAAGUCCGACCUUAACUACGAAUCUGGUUCCUUAUUAAUAUUUGUACUUUAAACAUAAUGGUUUGUAAUGAACCUCUUGUAUUAAAAAAAAAAAAAAGGCAAAAUUUCUAUUUUUUGUCCUCUACAAACCUGGAAAAAACAGCCUGUACUUGAGGUAUAGGUUCGAGGUGCUAGUGAUCCUUCACAGUUCAGAAAUGGUCUUUAUCCACAAUGCUCUUUUGAUGUUUGUUUCCUACUUAAGACUAAAAAUUGUCACAAGAUUAUCAUGUCUUGAGACUAUAACUAAUAUAAUCCAUACUGCUUUUAAAGAAAUGUGCAAACUAGCACAUCUCCAAUGUGAGUUUGAAACAUAACGUACAUUGAAGAUUUGUCUGCAGCCAUUUUCUACUAAGAAUCUGCAUGGCACUGAGAGGACCCCCAAGGGCACAUGGUCUUUAUUCAGGAGGGAUAACCAACCACCACAGGGCCACAUGGUGAUGAGCUGACAGAAACAUAAAGGGUCUCAUGUUCUUCUGUGUGCAUGGUGUAGGGUAGAUAUAAACUGGGCCAUGGUAAACAAAUUACUGUGGAGUGUACCUUUUAGCUACCAGAGCAUUGAUAAUGAAUUUGCCAGAAGGGGGUUUGGGUGGUGCUGAAGUUGUGUAGUAAAUAAUGUCCAGUUCCUGUUGUAUGCAGAACAUGCCACUGGUGUUAAAAUCUUAAAGCAUUAAAAGUUACAAGCCAGGGUCUCCUUCAAACUGUCGUGGUGAAAGAAAAUGUUUGUAGUUAGUUUUCAGAAUUGUAUACGAAGGUCUUCAGAGACUGGCUUAAUGAUGAAACUAACGCCAUUCUUAUCUCUUAAUAUCUAACUCACUCAGCAUUCAAAUUUGAUGAUAAAAUACAAUUUUAAGUAUUCGAAAUGAUAUUCUGAGUAAAAUGUUGACUUUAUCAAUUGCAUUUCAAACUUUCAUGCCUAAGUUUUUAAGUUACCCUGGACUCCAUCUUCAGAAUCUAGUGGGAUGGAAGGGGAAAGAGAAACUCCAUUAUUCUCAGUAUUCAACUUCUUGUUGGCUGUGAACUUAAAACUGAAACCUGCUGACUUAGGAAUUUGUGGCUUUCAGUUGAUUCAGUAGUCUGUUUUAAAAUAUUGCAUUUUGUACUUGUCUUUAAGCUCUCCCUCCCCUCUCUCCCCCUUCUCUCUCCCCCUUCUCUCUCCCCCUUCUCUCUCCCCCUUCUCUCUCUCUCUUUCUCUCUCUCUCUCUCUCUGUGUGUGUGUGUGUGUGUGUGUGAAAUAAAUUUGAAGUAUUUCUUCACUGUUUGGAUAUGUCAUAAAAAUUUUCAGAAAACUGUAAUGGUAUCAGUUUUUAUCCAAAAUUUAUAAAAUUAUAAAGUUUUGAAGGAAACAUCAAAGUCUGUCAGUUUACUUCAGGAGCUGUAGCACAGACACCUCGAGGACCGGAAACAAGUGUGAUCGGGUGCCAGGACGGUUGUUCCAGGAGGGGCCUCCUUCCCAGCUUGCAGACUUGCUAACUUUGUAUAUCCUGCCAUGGCCAGUAGGAGAAAGGGCUAAUUUUCUUACUCCUAGAAGAACUCUAACCCCAUCAGGUGGUCUCCAUCCUUGAAAUAACCCAUUACUUUAAUGACUUAGGGCCUUACAUGAGGGGAAAGAUAUUACACAAACAUGCAUUUACAAACUGCUCCAAGUUCCUAGGUGCAGGACACAGCUCGAUGGUAGAACUCUUGUCUGCCAUGCAAAAGGCUCUCCGACACACAAAGUGAACAUUAACAGAAACUGGAUUUUCCAUCUGGGAAGCAUCAUAAGAACAGGAAUGGGCUAAGUGUUUGUUUUUAUUAUAAUGGACACAUCAGUCCAGGUAACAGGGGCUCUAGACAGGGAUUUGUGUGUUCCAGUGGAGGCCAGUUUUACAAAGCUGAACUUCAGGAGACAUGGAGUGGAAUUCAGCCAUUCUGGGAGCUUCUCCUUGCAGUUAGUUCCUGUUUUCUUCCUCUGCCUCAGUUCUUCCUUAGGUAGCUGGGUUGUGUAUAGUAUGGUUUUUUAGGAUUAGUGACCCCAGCAUGGCAGACCUGGGUUUAAGUCCUUUCUUAUUAUCCAUUUCCUUAAGGUGUUAAGUGCCACAUACCCUUAAAGUUUCCUAUUCAGAUUUCCAGGUGAAGUCUGAAUAUAAUGGCUUAGUCAGCUGCCUGUGUUCCAUGUGUCAAGGAGGGCAGAGGACAAGAACCAUCUGGUUAACAUGACCCUUGGUCUGUUCCACACAUAACCUGUAUGCUCUGUUGCCAACAUCAGUAUUUCAGAAUGAUUUCCUAACUGUACUUGAAGCCUCCCCCCACUUAAGAUACUGAUUUCUAAUAUAAAAUCCCCUGGGUGCGAACCUUUCAUAAACAUUUGGUCAAUAAACAGGGAUGAUCAUUGGGCAACAAAGGCAGACAUGUUAUACCUUAGGUAAGAAACCUUGUGAAAAGCUGCCUUUGUCCUUAAAUUGUGGCAUUUCACCAUGAAGUAAUCAGGGCUCCUCUAUCAUAAGCACUUGGCUUGAAAUGGAAAGUGCUACCUGACCCUAACCCUGAGAGUUACACUCGUGUUCUGCUCCAAUCAGAAAGGCAAGAAGAUAGAGAACCUAUCAGAAGACCACGUUUGAGAACUUCUAGCUAGAGGAACAACUCUUAGUCCUGAGUGACAGCUUCCUCUGGAAACAGAUGCUGGGUCCUUACUUUGCUAUGAUGUUUUUGUUGUUCUGUUUGUUGUCAAGGUACCACACUAAGACCAGUGAAGCCUCUGGCCUACUUACAGAAUUUCCAGAGAGUGUCCAAUAAGAACCAAGAACCAGGCUCAAGAGAGGAGCUCAAAAUGGUUUAAACAACUAAGAGUUUAAACCUUGUUUUUGAGGCAGGGGUUUCAGUGGGUCCAGAAUAAAGUCACUUGACCGACA